UGUGAUAUCGGUUGCCGAGAAAGAG
rnacentral:misc_RNA from 1 species